rnacentral:lncRNA from 1 species
GGAUGAUUCUUUGCCCUUGUAUGCAUAGGUUGCCUUUUACCUUUAGCAUUCUGCCAAAGUUUGGUCAUUCAUAGAGAGAUCAUUUUGCUGCAUUGAACCCACUCAGGCAUUGAUGAGAUCAUUUUAGUCUCAUAACCUCACCCUAGCCAAACUAUGUUUGUUUAAACAAUGCAUCAUUUGAUCCACUUGGUAAAAAGCUUAAUGAAUGUGAAAGAGUUGAGAGAGAGAAGAACUUGUGGAGAUUCCUUGUUGAGUUGAUAUAUAUCUGAGUAUGGC